GUAUUACUUCAGCAGCACAAAUUCUAAAAUUGGAAGGAUACAGAAAAGAUUAGCGUGGCUUCUGCGCAAGGAUGACACACCUACUCAUUAAACGUUACUUUUUUAA
rnacentral:snRNA from 1 species